rnacentral:rRNA from 1 species
GGCGGACGGGUGAGUAACGCGUGGGUAACCUGCCUCAUACAGGGGGAUAACAGUUGGAAACGACUGCUAAUACCGCAUAAGCGCACAGUACCGCAUGGUACAGUGUGAAAAACUCCGGUGGUAUGAGAUGGACCCGCGUUGGAUUGGCUAGUUGGUGAGGUAACGGCCCACCAAGGCGACGAUCCAUAGCCGACCUGAGAGGGUGACCGGCCACAUUGGGACUGAGACACGGCCCAA